rnacentral:rRNA from 1 species
UAGGGAAUAUUGCACAAUGGGGGAAACCCUGAUGCAGCGACGCCGCGUGAGCGAUGAAGGCCUUCGGGUUGUAAAGCUCUGUUGUACGGGAAGAACACAAUGACGGUACCGUAUAAGAAAGGACCGGCUAACUUCGUGCCAGCAGCCGCGGUAAGACGAGGGGUCCUAGCGUUGUUCGGAAUCACUGGGCGUAAAGCGUAUGUAGGCGGCUUGAUAAGUCGGGUGUGAAAUCCCAUGGCUCAACCAUGGAACUGCACUCGAAACUAUCGAGCUUGAGUAUUGGAGAGGAUGACAGAAUUCCUGGUGUAGUGGUGAAAUACGUAGAUAUCAGGAGGAACACCGGUGGCGAAGGCGGUUAUCUGGCCAUAUACUGACGCUGAGAUACGAAAGUGCGGGGAUCAAACAGG